GGGUGGAGGAGACAGUUUUUUGGUCAGAAAUCGGGAAACAGAGGCUGAGUACGACAAUCUGGCAAAGUUAUUUAAAAUUUACCGUACUAUUUGGCAACUCAUCACCACCUCGCUGUCCUUUCCUCGCCAGUCCUCGUGGAAGAAGGCAAGCCAUGAAGUCAAUGUGUUACAGCAGGAUGAACAACGAGAGGGAACCAGCGUGUUGCAGCAGUGUAAAUAAGCAGGAGAAUGGAUCAAGAGGAAGAGGAGGACCUAAGAAGUGGUAUAGGUCAAAAGAAGUAUUCCAGUCUGUGGUGAAGGGCUGUGGCAAUGUAGUAAAUUUCUCGCCCUCUUGUGGAUAAUGGCUGGUCGUGGCAACGGAAGGACACCAAGGAGUCUAGAGAAUAUAGAGUCCUGGGAGGACGCCUGCUGCCCCCAGGAAGGUGGGCAGUGCAAAGCAUAACAUUCAGGGCGAGGAGUUGGUGUCGGAGCAGUACUCGGUCACUGUAUUCCAGCCUGUAGCAGGAGGAUAUAUGGACAACACUUGCACCUUGAUUAUGAGUGACAUGCUGCAUCAUUGAUUGGAGGCCUGUCAACAUAAGCUGAGUAGCUUAGAGAAGAGGUGGAUAGGCUGUUGAACUUACAGCCCAAACUUUGAUAUCAGUGAUUGAGAUGCAGUUUUGGAAGGUCGUCGUCUUCAUUGUUUUGGGGGCUGGUUAGUCCAUGGAACUAUGGCCUCUAAAGCCCCAGCAGAACAGGUUGCAGGUGUAAUUGUUGAAGUUAUACAAAAAAGUAAAAGGUUUCAAAAGUCUGGGAAGGUCACAAAAUCACCCAAUGGUGCAGGCUGCCCGACUCGUAUUGUGAUGGUGUGCUUCUGGAGUGGAAGCUAUAUCCUGCUGAGAUGGCGUGACUUCAUAAGAAGGCUGUUGUGUGUGAAGACUUUAGAAGGCUGAGAGAAUUGCUGCCCUGUUAGCCUUUUUUUUUUAUUAUUAUUUAAGCAAGGGCACAUUAAUAGAACAUAUUACUAGGUCCUUAAAGUGGUUCUCAUUUGGCUGAGUCAGACACCUGGCAUUGACUUUCUUGAACCAAGCUCAGCAGGUCAUUCCCAUAUAGGCCAUGUAAGCCCUCCUCUGCUGACAUUAAACCACCAAUGAGAUACACAGAAUAAAGAACCUAAAGGCACACUCCAGAACUACAAAUCCAUCUCCACCAAAUUAACGUAAGCUAUGUGGGCCAAUCUACAAACUUUACUAACUAUGAAACCAACCAGGUUUGCUGGUUCUGGGCACAUUGAAAAUAAUUGUUUUGGUAAGCAAGGUAAACUUAGACAAGAGUGUAGAGUCUGUCAUGUAAAGGAACACAUCACUCUAUGUCCCUCGGAAGAUAAGGUCAAGCUUCAACUUAAGACGAAUAUAAGCUUGUGCUUGGCACAAAGAAGUCUUGACUUGCCAUAUGCUACCUAAAAUUAUUGUAAAAACUGACAUAAAGAGUAGGAAAGUUAGAUGCCUUAUUGAUACUGGAAGCCAAACAUCUUGCAUUUCGAAAGUUGCUGCCCGAGACCUUUGUCCAGAUGUAAAUAAAUUGUUUUCUCUUGAUUGUGAUGUAGGCACCUAUAUUGGUGCAGAAACUAAAGGCUUUAAACAAAUGUACAGGGAUCAAGUCAGACGAUCGUAUCACUUUUGCUCCCUUAUUGUUGGACAUUAAAUUUUAUGUUUCAGGGAUGAAAGCAGUCAUGUGUAAAUUCAAACAAAAUAAGUUUGUUAGAUGAACAUUUCUAUGAGGCUAAAAUCCAUGAGACCACCCAAGUAGAUAUGUUGUUAGGCAUUUAUAUACUACAGUAUGACAUCAGUGUCCUGGCAGGAAAGAUUAGGUGAUAAAUGUCUAAUUAUGCACAAUAAAUUAGCUCCCAUAGGUAAUGUAUUUAACUAUGUCCAGAUGAAAGGCAGUUUGUAAUGCGUCUCCUGACAGAAAAACGAUGAGAACAACUUUUGCAAUAAACCUAAAACCAUGGUUAA